GCCAUACUUAAUUUCAGUGAGAUGCAUACGGGUGCGCUUGAAGCAGGCAAUUUGACAAGCAAUUUUUAUACAUAACUAAUUACAGGUUUAUUUAAAAAUAUUUACGUCGUGCACAAAAAUAAAACCAGACAUAGUCCAUCUGAGGGCGAGUUUUUCUUGUACUUUGAGACCAUUGAAUAUGAAUUUGUCUUGCAAGCAAUAGCCUUCAUUGUUCUCCCUACGGAUGCGGCUUCCCGGAUGCAGCUCCUGGAUGCGUCUUCCCGGAUGCAGCUUCCCGGAUACUUCUUCCCUUGGCUCUACCAAAACACAAUCUAAUGCAUUAGUUGGAUUAAAAAGGAUACACAUAGUAAUAAAAAUGGUUUAAAUAGACAGUAAUGA